rnacentral:lncRNA from 1 species
GAGUUCAGACAAAGUUUACCUGCAGCUGAAGCCGUGGAUGAGGUCCGGCUCCCGUAGGAGUCCGGAUGGAAUUUACCAGUGUUCGAAGUCGAGGACGAAGCUCGGCUCCCGUAGGAGUCUGGAUGAAGUUUGCCUGCAGUUGAGGUCGGAGAUGGAGUUCGAUUUUCGUAGGAGUCCGGACGGAGCCUUCUUAUGAUCAGAGUCGAGGGCAAAGUCCGGCUCCCGCAGGAGUCCGGACGGAGUUUUAUCAUGAAGGGCCACUGGGGAAGGUCUUCCAGCAGUUGAUGUUGGGGACGAAGUCCGACUCCCGUAGGAGUCCGAGC